UGUGACAGAAUAGUGUGAUAAAUUUAAGAUUUAUUUAUAAAGUAACCCUUUCUUUAGAA
rnacentral:tRNA from 1 species